rnacentral:RNase_P_RNA from 1 species
CCAGAUGGCCGGAUGGCCGCUCCUGUUUGCUUGCAAACGGGGGAGGAAAGUCCGGGCUCCAUGGAAAUACGGUGCCAGUUAACGGCUGGCGGGGGCGACCCUAGGGAAAGUGCCACAGAAAGCAAACCUCCUGAUCGCGCUAGCCAUCAGGAAAGGGUGAAAGGGUGCGGUAAGAGCGCACCGGUCCUUCAGCAAUGCGGGACGCAUGGUAAACCCCACCGGGAGCAAAACCUAAUAGGAAUGGUCGGCCGGAUGUUUCGGCAUUGUCGGCAGGCGGUUUCCGCGUCACCAUUCGGGUUGGUUGCAGGAGGCGUCCGGCGACGGGCGUCCCAGAUGAAUGGCCAUCCAAUGCGGCUUGCCGCAGGGACAGAACCCGGCUUACAGGCCAUCUGGUCUU